rnacentral:rRNA from 1 species
UCGAGAAUCUUCGGCAAUGGACGCAAGUCUGACCGAGCGAUGCCGCGUGCGGGAUGAAGGCCUUCGGGUUGUAAACCGCUGUCAGUGGGGAUGAAAUGCAUGGGGGUUCUCCCCCAUGUUUGACAAAUCUUCAGAGGAAGUACGGGCUAAGUUCGUGCCAGCAGCCGCGGUAAGACGAACCGUACGAACGUUAUUCGGAAUCACUGGGCUUAAAGGGUGCGUAGGCGGCCUGGCAAGUUGGGUGUGAAAUCCCUCGGCUCAACCGAGGAACUGCGCCCAAAACUGCUUGGCUUGAGGGAGAUAGAGGUGAGCGGAACUUAGGGUGGAGCGGUGAAAUGCGUUGAUAUCCUAAGGAACACCGGUGGCGAAAGCGGCUCACUGGAUCUCUUCUGACGCUGAGGCACGAAAGCUAGGGUAGCGAACGGGAUUAGAUACCCCCGUAGUCC